CCUGGUUGAUCCUGCCAGUAGUCAUAUGCUUGUCUCAAAGAUUAAGCCAUGCAUGUCUAUUUAUGAACUAAUUCAGGCUGUGAAACUGCAAAUGGCUCAUUAAAUCAAUUAUAGCAUUUUUUAUGGCACCAUACUACUCAGAUAACCAUAGUAAUUCUAGACAUAAUAUGUGCACCAAGUCCUGACUCUUUGGAAGGGAUGAUUUUUCUAGAUAAAAGGUCAACGUGGGCUUUCCCACUUCUCCAGUGAAUCACGAUAACUUGACAAAUCGAACAGCCCUUGUGUUGGUGAUGCUUCAUUCAAAUUUCUACCCUAUCAACUUUCGAUGGUAGGAUAGAGGCCUACAUGGUGGUGAUAGGUGAUGGAGAAUUAGGUUCGAUUUCGAAGAGGGAGAUUGAGAAACAACUACCACAUCCAACGAAGGCAACAGGUGGGCAAAUUACCCAAUCUUGACAUGGGGAGGUAGUGACAAUAAAUAACAAUAAUAGGCUCAUCAAUUCUGGUAAUUGGAAUGAGUACAAUCUAAAUCUGUUAAUGAGGAUCCAUUGGAGGGAAAGUUAGGUGCCAGCAACCGUGGUAAUUCCAGCUCCAAUAGCAUAUAUUUAAGUUCUUGCAGUUAAAAAUCUCAUAGUUGGAUCUUGGGUCAUAAAGUUCAGUCCACCUACUCAGUUUCCACUUGCCCUUCUGUCCUUUUUGUUGGCGGUGUGCUCCUAGCCUUAAUUGGUUGGGUUAUGGAUUUGGCACUGUUACAUUGAAAAAAUUAGAGUGCUCAAAGCAAUCUUAUGCUUUGAAUACAUUAGCAUGGAAUAACGUGAAAGGAGUCUGGUCCUAUUUUGUUGGACUUUGGGACCAGAGUACUAAUUAAUAGGGACAUUCGUAUUUCAUUAUUAGAGGUGAAAUUCUUCUAUUUAUGAAAGACAUACCACUAUGAAAUAAUUUUCCAAGGAUGUCUUCAUUAAUGAAGAACGAAAGUUGGGGGCUCAAAGAGCAUAAGAUACCAUCCUAGUCUCAACCAUAAACGAUGCCGACCAGGUAUCGACAGAUGUUGCUCUAAGGACUCUGCCAGCACCUUUUGAGAAAUUAGAGUGUUUGGGUUUUGGGGGUAGUAUGGUCAGAAGGUUGAAACUUAAAGGAAUUAAAGGAAAGGCACCACCAGGAGUGGAGCCUACGACUUAAUUUGACUAAACAUGGGGAAACUUACUAGGUCCAGACAUAGUAAGGAUUGAUAGAUUGAGAGCUCUCAAUUCUAAGAUUGAGAGCUCUUUCUUGAUUCUAUGGGUGGUGGUGCAUGGCCGUUCUUAGUUGGUGGAGAAAUUUGUCUGGUUAAUUCUGAUAACUAAUGAUACCUCAUCCUGCUAAUGAGCUACGUGGAGGUCCCCCUUCGCAACCAACUUCUUAGAGGGACUAUGACCAUUUAGGCCAUGGAAUUUUGAGUUAAGUAAUAGAUAGGUGAUGCCCUUAUAUGUUCUAGGCCACAUGAGUGCUACACUGAUGUAGCCAAUGAGUUUUUCCUCCUAGUUCAACAGGGUCAGGAAUUCUUCUCAAAUUGCAUCAUGAUGGGGAUAGACCAUUACACUUAUUGGUCUUCAACAAGGAAUUCCUAGUAAGCGUGUGUCAUCAACUCAUGUUAACUACGUCCCUACUCUUUGUACACACCUCCCAUCACUCCUACCAAUUGAAUGAUCCAGUGAAGUGUUCAGAUUGAGUCGACAAUGGUGGUUCGCCACCAUCGACAUCGUGAGAAGUUCAUUGAACCUUAUCAUUUAGAGGAAGGAGAAGUCAUAACAAUGUUACUAUAGGUGAACCUGCAGCAU
rnacentral:rRNA from 1 species